UUCCGGUUGAUCCUGCCGGAGGCUACUGCUAUUGGAGUUCGAUUAAGCCAUGCGAGUCUAAGGGAUCUUCGGAUCCCUGGCGUAAUGCUCAGUAACACGUGGAUAAUCUACCCUCAGGUGGGGCAUAAACCCGGGAAACUGGGGCCAAUUCCCCAUAAAUACAGAUGGCUGGAAUGCUUCUGUAUUCAAAGCUCCGGCGCCUGAGGAUGAGUCUGCGGCCUAUCAGGUUGUAGUCAGGGUCAAGACCUGACUAGCCAGCGACGGGUAUGGGGUGUGAGAGCACUUGCCCAGAGAUGGUUUCUGAGACACGAAACCAGGCCCUACGGGGCGCAGCAGGCGCGAAAACUUCGCAAUGCGGGAAACCGUGACGAGGGAACUCCGAGUGUCUAUGCAUUGCAUAGACUGUUUUUUAGCCUAAAUAGCUAUUAGAGUAAGGGGUGGGCAAGACCGGUGCCAGCCGCCGCGGUAACACCGGCACCCCGAGUGGUAGCCACUAUUAUUGGGCCUAAAGCGUUCGUAGCCGGUUUGGUAAAUUCUUGGGUAAAUCGUACCGCUCAACGGUGCGGAUUCCGGGGACACUACCAGACUUGAGACCGGGGGAGAUCAGAGGUACUUGCGGGGGAGCGGUGAAAUGUUGUAAUCCCGCAGGGACCACCAGUGGCGAAGGCGUCUGAUCAGAACGGCUCUGACGGUGAGGAACGAAACCCUGGGGCGCAAACGGGAUUAGAUACCCCGGUAGUCCAGGGCGUAAACGCUGCUGACUUGGUGUUGGGGAUCCUACGAGGAUGUCCAGUGCUGGCGCGAAGGUAUUAAGUCAGCCGCCUGGGGAGUACGGUCGCAAGACUGAAACUUAAAGGAAUUGGCGGGGGAGCACUGCAACGUGUGGAGCGUGCGGUUUAAUUGGAUUCAACGCCCG
rnacentral:rRNA from 1 species